UGUACCCGUACCCACAGUGACAGAGGCCUGGGCAAUAUGGCCUGUCCCCAAGGGGGAGGACACGCCCCACAGCUGGCGCCCUGUCCCAGUCGGGGCCUUGGAAGAAGAGGCUGAGGCAGGUGCUUCCCUGGGAAUCGCAGGGCUCGGGGCUGCCAACUGGGUGCCCAGCCCCCUCUCUGCCUGGCUGAGGGGCCUGCUCCUUGCCUCUGUUUCUCCACGGUGGAGGGGGUGCUGAUGGAGCCCCUGGGUGGGGAACUGACAGAAGGCUGAGGGCUUCACUUUUCUGAGGCCUGUGGAGCCCAGACGGGGGCUUCUGUGCUCACGGUCUCUGGGGACACGGGGCAGCCCCAUGGCCUGUCGGGGCUGAGACACACCCUGAGCAUGGUCCCUGGAUGAUGAAUCCUGGCUCUGUGGCUUCGGGCCUGUGGUUCCUCCACUAAACCCCCAGCACUACUCCCUUUCAGCACUGUUCCCCAACACUGCCUCUCAGCUCUGACCCCUGCACUGCCCACCAGCACUGACCCCAGCACUGCCCCCUGAACUGCACCCAAGCUCUGUUCCUGUCCCUACACUCCUCCCUGGCCACACUGGACAUGGCCAGUCCCCAGCAGCCUGUGAUUUCUGCCUUGUACUUUGGAAAGAGUCAGCUCUGGGUCUCCGUCCAGGAGACCUCCAGCUUGGGGAGCUGCCUGCAGCCUCGCUGCCACAGACUAUAGGGGUGGGUGCUGCCGUGGGUUCACAGGCGGGCCCUGGGUGUGCAGGUGGUGCGAGGGCUCUGCGGAGUCAGCCCUGUUACUGCGAUGGGCGGUCUCAUUGUGGUCAUAGUCACUGCAGUCAUCUACACAGCAUCUGACGUCCCGUCACAGUAAACAGGCCUGGCACCAGGAGGUGGGGCCGGCAGAGGGGCCUCCUGGGGGCAGGGAGGGCCUGGACCAACAGGGCCAUGGAGCAGGCUGGGAGCUGCCCUGGGCUCGGAUGUGUGCCCCGUUGCUCAGAUGUUCGGACAUCUUUUGGGAGUCAUCUGUUCACUUCCGUUGCCUGUUUCUCUACUGAGCUGUUUGGAUUUUCCAAGUGAUCCACAGUUCUGUAUACGUCCUGGGAAUGCCUGCCUGCCUGUGUACGUGAUGGUGGGACAGGCCGUCCCUGCCAGGGCUUGGCUUCAGGGUGACUCCGCAGGGAGAUUUCCCUGGCCCCAAGGUGGGGCUCUCCUGGCACCUGGCCUCUCAGCCCCUGACGCUUUCCACGCAGAAGCAGGCUUCCACCCCGUCACCCUGGGCCGGCCCCGCUCCUCUCUUCCCGUAGGACUCGAGGAGGCUUGGCAGGGUAAGAAGUGUCCAUACUCCAGACGGGACAAAGAUACAUCAGUAGAAAGCCCAGCCAGACCUCCAGAUCCUCUCCACCUCCGCAUCUGACGAUCACCCUCUGACUAAUGGACACCUGCAUGCUGUGGAUCCUGGCCCUCGCCAGAAUGGAAUCUCUCAUCCUGGGCAUUGAACUCUCUGCUGCUGCUGCCCCCUCUGACUAAACUGUUCCUCAAAAAGUUGCCCUUUCUAUUGUCUAUUGUGUAACUGUUAAGUUGUUUUGCUGUGCUUACCUGUCUCUCCUAGCUGAACUUAAUUCUCAGUCUGCAUUUCCAAAGUACCUCUCUAGAAUGUUUAACUGUACAGAAGUUAUAAAGUGCAUGGUCACCACCCAAGGGAGCUGCCCUCAGUGGCCCUACACCUUCAGCACCUGUCCUCUCACACUCAGAUAAGCCAGCCUGAGUGUAAUGCUCACCUGCAUAAAAAUAAAUUAGGACUAGAAAUUACUGGGUGUUUUUUGGUAAGCACAGGCUAAUCAAGAGUCUGAAGGGCUCUUUUCAACCUGUACACACAAGGCCCGUACAGACAAAUGCAUAAAAACAUAAUCAUUUGUGUUCUUCACAAAGAACACUCAGGUCUUUAAUGAAAAAGUCACAAGGAAAAAGAUCCUAGCUCAAAGCAAUUAAAAGUAUAAAUACAAGCCAUUCUAACCCUAUCAUAAAUCAAAAUGAUGAUGCCCCUAAAACGAAGUGUUUAAAGGGGCAUCAGAGGGGGUAGUGGUAAGGAAAAUAUUCGACACACCCAUCAAGGUCAGCAGACCGCUUUUUUCCUCCAGUUGGCAAAGCCCCUCCAGCUCCCCCCUCCCCUCCUCCAGGCCCCUCCUUUGCCCUGCACAUGCUCACAUGCGACGUAUCAAAAUAACAUAAAUUCCUCUGCUUGUUUGUGCGCAGGGCUCAGACCUCGGGAGAUGACUCCCCUCUGAGCUGCAGGUGUGAAAUAAACCUCAGCAC